UCUUCCUCUAUCUCACCCUCCUUUUAGUUCAUCAUCAUUCUGCUAGAGCUCUCGAAGGAAUCAUCCCUUCCAGGACCACGGCCACAACUUCAUCCUUCCUGGAUGUAAAGAAGCCUCACUUUCCACCCCGUCUUUUGCCUGACUUCCUGGCUUCUUCUCUGGCAUCUUCCAUACCAAUGAACUCCCCUCUGCCCCUUUUAAUCUCCUUCAGUUGACUGCUCAAGCUCUCUUUUCCUAGGAGCCGCUUGCUUAGCACAGAGUCGAAUCAUGUCCAGCCUCCAUGGCAAAGAACUUUGACCUCCUGCUGGGGCAGACUUGCUCCAGUCUAAGUGCGGGUUUGCUGCUUAGUUGCUCUUCUUUCUUUGGUAAGCAUUUUGUACCUGCCGUCAUCACUAAAAAUACCUUUCUCUUCGUCUGAGCCUUUCGUCUCCAAAUACCACCCACCGUGGAAUUCACUUUAUAAUCCUCAGCUUGGGGAUAUUUUCCUGAAGAAGUCGAGCUGGAUGCCUUUCCCUAAUGAGUCUUCUGAGUGAACAGAGAGGCACUGUCUUCCUGCACCUGGCUACGCACCCCUUCAGAAUCUUCUAGAAACGACGAUGAGUCUCUUAACACAAAGCUGAAGCUGCUUUACAUGUUCUAUUUUGUGAGAUUUCUCCUUUGAAGCACAUUGUGAUCGAGAGAAGACAACACCUACAAGUCAGAAGUUACCUUGUCAGAGUGGUAGUAGAAAAGUUUGGCAUUUAAAUGAUCUAAACGAAAGAUAAACGCUGGAGAAAAAUAUUCAGGAAGACGGGAGAAGCUAAUUCAUACUAGAGGUUAUUGGAUCUCUCUGGCGAUGUUGCUGCUGCUAUUUUUGUGCACGGCAGAUCAGUGUUCCGGUGGAAGAGGAUGGAAAUUUUGAGCCCCAGUAACAAUAAACAUAUUUUAUGCCCCUGUAA